ACGCUCGACACCUACGGGGGGCAGCAGUGGGGAAUAUUGCACAAUGGGGGAAACCCUGAUGCAGCGACGCCGCGUGAGCGAAGAAGUAUUUCGGUAUGUAAAGCUCUAUCAGCAGGGAAGAUAAUGACGGUACCUGACUAAGAAGCUCCGGCUAAAUACGUGCCAGCAGCAGCGGUAAUCUGAGCGGGCUGGCAAGGC
rnacentral:rRNA from 1 species